GUGCUCACUUUGGGAGCACGUAUACUAAAAUUAGAGCCAUCCAGAGAAACUUAGCAUGACCCUGUACAAGGAUGACAUGCAAAUUUGUAAAUCAUUCCACAUUUUU